rnacentral:rRNA from 1 species
GAUGAACGCUGGCUACAUGCUUAACACAUGCAAGUCGAGGGGAAACGCCGGGGCAGCUUGCUUCCCCGGGCGUCGACCGGCGCACGGGUUAGUAACGCGUAUCCAACCUGCCUCUGACUGAGGGAUAACCCGUCGAAAGUCUGCCUAAUACCUCAUGGCAUCGUCUGCGGGCAUCCAACGACGAUUAAAGAUUUCAUCGGUCAGAGAUGGGGAUGCGUCUGAUUAGCUUGUUGGCGGGGUAACGGCCCACCAAGGCGACGAUCAGGAGGGGUUCUGAUAGGAAGGCACCCCACAUUGGAACGGAGACACGGACCAAAACGGUACGGGAGGGUGGAGUGAGGAAGACAGGGGAAUGGGCGAGAGCCUAAAACAGCCAAGUAGCGUGCAGGAGGACGGCGCUAUGGGUUGUAAACUGCUUUUAUGGGGGGAUAAAGUGAGGGACGUGUCCGUCAUUGACGGUACCGGAUGAAUAAGGACCGGCUAAUUACGUG